rnacentral:rRNA from 1 species
ACGGCCGUACCAUACUGAAUAUACCGGUUCUCGUUAGAUCACCGAAGUCAAGCAUCAUUGGGCGCGGUCAGUACUUGGGUGGGUGACCACCUGGGAACACCGCGUGCCGUU